UACAGAGGUCUCAAGCGUUGUUCGGAUUCAUUGGGCGUAAAGGGUGCGUAGGCGGCGCGGUAAGUCGGGUGUGAAAUCUCGGAGCUUAACUCCGAAACUGCAUUCGAUACUGCCGUGCUUGAGGACUGGAGAGGAGACUGGAAUUUACGGUGUAGCGGUGAAAUGCGUAGAUAUCGUAAGGAAGACCAGUGGCGAAGGCGGAUCUCUGGACGGCCCCUGACGCUGAGGCGCGAAGGCUAGGGGAGCAAACGGG
rnacentral:rRNA from 1 species